AAUUACCCUAAUACAUAAUACCUCAAUAAAAUCUAAAAAUUUUACGUACUUCAAUAAAAUGAUAAAAUUACCCUAAUACCUAAUACCUCAAUAAAAUCUAAAAAUUUUUACACAAAAAAAUAAUACCUCUAGGUACAAAAAUUUAAAGACCGUAAAAUUUCUCAAGGUUUAAUUUUGGGUUACUAGCUAUACUGUUGGUAUUUCUUAACGACAUUAUUAGGAAUAUAAAUUCCCAGCAACGGCGCCAUAAAUGGUCCUGGAUAUACCGCAAGCGCACGGAUACACCAUUGUAGCAUUUCACCCGAGAGUAUUAUAAGGUAUCGUAUUUAUUUAAUCCUAAGGGAAGAUGUAAGAGAGAACUACGCUAUUAAUGU
rnacentral:precursor_RNA from 1 species